CCUUCGCUGUGUAGCUAGUUAGCUACUCAGCACCUGUCCAUCCGGUCACUCGAAAGAGUGGCGGCCUUUGGGUGGUACAGUUGUCAUCGAUCCGACCUCUCGACCAUACAGGGGUCAUGGUGCAAAGAGGUGAGCGGGGUGACCAUCGUGCAUACGCUGCUAUCAUUAUAUCUGCUGAUGUUGUUGUUGCUACUUUUGCUGCUAUUGCUAGCUUAUGCUGCUGUUGUUUGCUUCUGCUGUUGGUAUUAGUUUAUGUGGCUGUUGCUCACUUAUAUUGCUAUGCGUGCUUAUGUUGAAAUAUGCUCUUGUUGUAGGUGUUUAGUCCUUGGUUUACUUAUUGGAAGUUUAUAUAUACCUUGUUUAUUUCCUCUGUAGUUAUGAGCAGUACUGUAGCAGAUUAGUACUACUUCUGAACUUCUAUAUCUAGCCUAGGAUAUGGUUUCAGGUAGCAGUAGAUGAUUGAGAAGUUGCUUGGAGAGUCCCGGCUGCCAGUCCCACGUCACACUCGAGGAUAACCCUUUUCGGUUUUACUUCUGUUUAGUGAUUGUCAUCGGUACAAGGGAGAUGUUGUCGGAUUUUUGUCUGGCAGGGACAACUCUAGGGCGUGACAGCACCUUAGAGAUAUAUGAAGGUGCCCUCUAGAGGAUAAAAAUUGAAGGUUGCAGGAUUUAUCAUCACCAAAGAUAAGGGGACAAAUAUUGCUUGUGGAGGCACCUCGAAGGGGGCUGAAGGCACCUUCCACAGCCUAUAUAUGCCCUGUUCGAGAAGCACACUACACACAACUUGCAUACGAGCUUCAACAACAUCUUCAUUGCUUCGACUAUGCUCUACUAUUGUAUUACAACUCCAAGGUAUUUGACCGUGACCUGUAGACUGACACCGACACAAAAUCCCAAUCAAACUCUACACUCUAAAAGUGUCGGUAAUAAUUUAAUAUUACUAUACAUUUUUAUACUUGUAAAAGGAAAGUGUAGACUGUUACAUUUUCCUAGUUCUUUGUACUUGUAUUCAAUUCCCUCUUCCAGCUAUUCUUGAUGAGGUUUAUAGUGGAUUACCUAUCGAUACAAUCUAA